GACUAUGCUGUAUUUAUUAUUUACAGGGGUGACACCACCAGAUUCCUGUACACAAAGAUCAAAUGAAUAGCCACAGAGAAGUUACAGGACCUUCCCUGGAUGUCUAGACACCAGUCACUUUUUCAGUUCAGCACCCUCCUGUUCCCUCCUUCUGCUCACACAAAAGAAGCUCCAAGUUCAUGCCCUGGGAACAUGGUUCUUUGGGACAAUAACCUGCCAUCUCCUUGUUCAGCUGGCUUUCACAACAGAGUCGCUUCCCCCCACCCCCCAGCUCACCUCCUCUAGGCUUCCUGGCCUGUGUGCAGUAAGCACCUUGAGGUUGGUGACAAAGCGGCAAGUAUUUCUGGCAGUAUCGAAUGAGCCCAUAGGCCCAAGAGGGUGCGAAAGAUAUCAUCCUCAGAAGAUCUAGAGUUACUCCCAAAGAUCAAUAACCAGGGGCCAGGGUUUGGAGAAGAAGGGACAGUGUGACUCUGACCCUGAGGCUGGCCUUUGACCAGGAGCGAUAAAUGCCUUGCGAGUGUCACCUGUAGCGUCAGGUGGUCUUAUUUUAAGAGGUAACUGUUUAAUAGCUUCUUUGGAGUGGAAAGGCCCUUUGGUCGGUCAGAGGAUUCCUAGACUGAACUACGGGCUGGGGGUUUUCCAUUCAGAAGCCUGGGAGCUUGGGUCUGGAAGGCUAGGGUGCCUGGCUCCAGGCAGAAUCAUGUGCAGCUCGGGCUGAGCUGCCCUGUACUGGAAAGCCAGUUAGACCAAGCGCUCAACGCAAAGAGAGCAGAGCUCAGGACUGGGAGGAGCUUACCCACGGCCCUUGGAAACAGCAAGAAAGACAGGAAACUCAAAGCAGGGUUUGUGGGUACCAUGUCUGUGUUUCUCACCCCAAAAUGCUGGUGGAAGUGCACUCCAGAUCCCACUGCCACCACCAAAUCUGUUAAGAAACAAACUCCAGUGGAGUGCAUUUGAAAACCUCAUUAGCUUUCCUCAAGGAGUUAUGAAUGGGGGCAGCAUCCCAUCUAGCAGGUAGAAGGAGCUCUGAGGAGCUGUACCAAGUGGGAAGCUUUUACAGGCAGAGGCAGGGACAAAGAGGUCACACAGGAUUAUUGCAGGCAAGGUCACUUUCCUACGGAGGAAGGGCAGGGUCUCCCAUGAAGAUUACUUUCCCAGUGUUGAUCAGGAAAGUCCACUCAUUGGCUUAUGAUUCCACUUCCAGGGGCGCCUGGAUGACUCAGUUGGUUACGAGUCUGCCUUCGGCUCGGGUCGUGAUCCCGGGGUCCUGGGAUCGAGCCCCAUGUUGGGCGCCUUGCUUAAUGGAGAGUCUGCCUCUCCCUCUCCAUCUGCCUUUCCCCUCCCUUGCUCUCUCUCAAAUAAAUUAAUAAAAUCUUUAAAAAUAAAAUUCCAGGGGAUCCCUGGGUGGCUCAGCGGUUUGGCACCUGCCUUUGGCCCGAGGUGUGAUCCUGGAGUCCUAGGAUCAAGUCCCACGUCAGGCUCCCGGCAUGGAGCCUGCUUCUCCCUCUGCCUGUGUCUCUGCACGCCCCCCCGCCGCCCUCUAUCAUGAAUAAAUAAAAUCUUAAAAAAAAAAAAAGACCACUAUGUACCAAACUUCAUGAGCCUUGUGGACAUUAAAAAAUAAAAAAAAAUUCCACUUCCAGGAGAGGCUGAAUCUGCAAGUAGUUUAGGUACUGAGUCCUCAUUUGCUAUCUUGGGCCUUCACACAAGUAACUCCAUUUUGGGCCUGUUUUCCUUUUUUUUUUUUAAACACAAUAAACCCAUUUCAAAUUCUAAAUUCUAAAACACUUUAUCAUUAAGCAGCAAUGGCUGUGGAGGGACAAAGCACCCACCUCCUACCAUGGGCUUCAGUUUCUCUGCUCGGAGGGUGUCCCGACAAGGUGCCUCUGAGAGCCACAUCUGUGUCCUUCUGGCCUAGGGCUGAGAAAGCCCUCAGAGAGCUACAUCUGUGAGGGCAACUGGCAGUGAAGCAGCUUUUUUAAAAAAAUAUUUUAUUCAUUUAUUCAUGAGAGACACACACACACACACACACACACACACAGAGGCAGAGACACAGGCAGAGGGAGAAGCAGGCCCCAUGCAGGGAGCCCCAUGUGGGACUUGAUCCCAGGUCUCCAGGAUCACGCCCUGGGCCAAAGGCGGCGCUAAACCGCUGAGCCACCUGGGCUGCCCAGUGAAGCAGUUUUUUAACCAAUUCAUGGCCCUGUCAGGAGAGCAAUGCCUCUGUCAUUUCAAAAUGCCCUUCAGAAUGCUCCAGGAACCUACAAACCUCAAACCCGGAGGGUGGGGGCCGCUGCCAACACUCUGAGCCUUUAUAGCAAAUGGGAGGUGGUUUGCGGAAGGCGCCUUCCUGGGCUUUGCCAGGGCUCAGGCAAUGCCAGGCUCAUUUUUCUGGAGUGACAGAGGCCCAAGGAAAAGUUCCUGUCGACCAAAGCUGCCUUCUGGGGCCCUUUUCAGACCCACAGACUGACGUCAAUCUAACCACAGAGCCAGUACCUCUGCCCCUGCCCAGGAUGACAGGAAGUCACUGGUGUCCUGUGUGCCGGGGUCACCAUGUGGCCCUUUCCUGAGGCUGCGCUCUGAGCAAGCUCUGGCUCUCCAGGCUGUGGAGAGGCUGACAUAAGAAUGCAGACAAAGCACACAGCACAUGAUGAGUGUCAUUUAUGAAUACUUGUGGAAUCGCUCUUCAGAUUUACCUACUUGUCCGAAAGAGAUGCUUUGUCAAGCCUGAGGACUGUCACACUGACUUUGUAUCGGCUCCUUUAAAGCCAUUCCACCUCUUGGUUACAAGAGACAUCUCACAUGGAGUUGUAAGCUACUGGAGGAGCCUGGUGAAUCUGGAGGAGACGCAGAGGGCUUGCCGGGGCUGCUGUUUGGCUGGCACAUGGUCACCACGGGCCCAGUAUGCAGGAGCCUGGCCGCUGUCCUCUCACCUAACUCCAUCUUGCAAGGUCUGAGGUUGAGGAUCUUGGAACCUGCCAGGCCUUUUCACAUUGCCUGUAAUGGAUGGCCCGAAAGGUACUGUCUGAAAGGUGGACAUGUAAGGUGAGCAUUAGGGCUUGAGAGAGUCUCUUGAUGCUCUUCCCUUCUGCUUUCCAAGGACCUAGAUUCAUCAAAAGGUGGGCUUCCCUCAUGGGGACAGCAUGGCUGAUGGAUUUCUAGCUUCUCAUCCAUAGGCUGGUUCUGGAUAGCCCUCUGAAACAGUUUCCUGGAAGCCUCAGCAGGCUUAUGCACACAACCCUUUCGCAAACAUCAGGUUUUUUUUAAAGCAGUAUCUGAUCUACGAACCGGGAUCCAACAACGGUAUAUGAAAAUGUCGUUAGAGACAACGGAGGAAGCUCCAACCCACCUGCUAUAGCUCUUGGUCAGGACCCACUGACCUUCGUUUCCCAUGAAGUUCCCAGUGAACCCAGUUACCUGGUUUCCUAGGUGCCAACAGACAUGUAAACCAGUAGAUGAACAGACCCUGCUAGCUUUUAAUAAACAGUGAUGACAAGACCUAAGAAACUAUAAUAAACAAUCCAGAUCAUCUAUCAUCGAGACAGCCGAGUCAAGAAAGGAAUUUUAGACUAGCUCUUUGGCCUGUUUGGUUUCAAUUCUGUGACCCCAGGCUGGCUUAAUAAUUAGCAACCUUUGGCGUAUGCCUCAGUCACUCUCGGCUUCAACUUUUUUCUCCCCAAAAUGGCUUGCUGUGUAGAUCGGGAAAAUAAUGGGGACAGCAGCCCCUAAGUACUGAAUGAGCAUGCAGCUGGAAUGAUGACUUGUGUGUCUGUAUAAAAAGUCAUUUAGCACAAGUUAGCUAAAGUUCUGCCAUACGAGAGCAGGCAGGGAUAACAAACAUCUUACAGAGAAUUUUGUUUGGAUUACUAGCAUGUCAACAGUUGUUGGGGAGAUAGAUGAUUAACUAUUCCUUUCCCCUUUAAAGUUUUCUAUUUCCCAUAAUGAUCAUAUUUUAGUUUCCUCCGUCUUCCUUUUCUUCCUUGUUAUCCUAGAUGCCUGGCACGUGCUAGCCCGAGACGCAGGGAUUGAAUGGAUGUGGGAACUGGCACAGAACCGUAGACUCUCUUACAGAACAGUGUUUUUGGCUGUGAUUCCCCUCUGUUUGGGGAAACCACAGAAGCGUAAAUGAAGUUCUUUAGCCGUCCACUUACAGCAGUUACACAUUUGAUGUUUAGCUACCAGGGGAGGAAGUGCUCAGUCAUUCAGAUACCAGGACUCAGGGGCUUCGGACCCGGAGAUCUGUGCGGCCUGCGCGGCACAGCUGGAAGGCCCAGGCUGGAAACAGGCAGACAAGGGCCUUCUCUGGCAAGCUCUGUUCUUUCACCUUACCCCAUCUCACCAGUGUGAGGCUCUGGCAAAGCACAGCAACUCAUUUAGAAGUUCCAUUUCU
rnacentral:lncRNA from 1 species